rnacentral:misc_RNA from 1 species
CCAAAAUCAAAUUAAAUUUAGAUUGAUCAAAUCCAAGGUCAGAAUCAAUCAAUAAUUCAUGGGCCCAAUUAGAUCUGAACCAUCUUGAAAGAAAUGAAUUGCUUCAAGCCCAGAACAAAUCAGAACUAAAUCAAAAUUAUAUUCAAAUUGAAAUAAAAAUCGAAUUAAAAUUGCUAAUUUCAAAUCAUUUUUAAACCAAACCCAUACAGUCUGAUUCAUAACCUUCCAAGCCACAGCUCAAAGCCAUUGGUUCCGGAAAGUGGCCAGGUCUAGCGGGAAGGGUGAGAAAAGAAAAUUUGUAUCCUCAUUGGCCAUAUGAUAAAACUCAACCGAUUGAUAGACGAUAGGCCCCUCCAUAUGAAUCCCAUCAACUCGUGCAAAUGCAGAACAAUUGCAAAAUGACCUCCCAAAUAAAUCUAGCUUCCAGGAAGUGAGCAAGCUGCAAGCCUUUGGAACAAACAAUGGACUAUUUUAUUUGGGAUCCCUGAAAAAACUCUAUAAUUCACAAGUAGCAUCCUUCUUAUUGAUCCAUUUCUCAUGCAUUCUUCCCAACAUUCUCCAAGCUGUCAAGCUUUCCUUGAGUGUUUAUUGAUCCAUUGGCCAUAAAUUGACCUCCUUGUUCAUACACCAGCAUAUAGAUGUUAAUUUUGUUCCACUAAUAUACACAUGUGCAAGGAAAUCAAAGAUCUCCUUAAGUAAUGAAAAUUUUGUUAGUACCUGAAAAUUAUAGAUCCUAUUAAAGACAGAAGAAUCAAAGAAAAAGAAAUUAAGGUGGAAAGAAGAGUGACUGAUGCUGGAAUCCGUCCUUUGUCCUUCCUUAUAAUAAUCCCUUCAAUAAUUGCAUAAUUGAUAACUAAGAUGUAAAAUGAAAGGAAAACUGGUACCAAGAUCUUGUUCCAUUCUUUGAUUCUUACAACUCCCACAAGAAACGAUACCACGUUCAAGAUUGCCACUGUGACCACUGGAACAAGUAGCCUAGUUGAUGUUUGGAAAUCAAGUUUUCCCAUUUGGUAGAGCUUAGAUUUUUCAUCAUCUUCAACCUUAUUGGUAAGCAAGAAACUUGCUUCCCUCACACCUAGCUUUUUCAUAAUCGCAUCCAAACUUCCAUAUACGUGACUUGAAAUUGACUUCAUCAUCCACAAUCUCUGUUCAUUUCUCCACGUUUGGAUUGACCCUCCAGAAAUGAGGACCUCGUAUAAAUGCUUAGAAAGGGCUGACAGGAAAAUAGUUGCAAAUAUAGGGAAGAAUGAAUUAGAAACCUGUGAACAAAAGGAGAGAAAUUAAAUCAUCAUUGUGUCAAGUUGAACUUUUACCUUGUGUAAAAUUUUCAUAUAAAGUAAGAGUGUUCAGUGUACAAUUGUAAUUGUUAUUACUUCCUAUUACCUCAGGAUACAAAGAGAUGCCGCUCAGUAGACCAAGUUGAGGGAUGAUAGCAAAACACCACAAAGACAGGGAAUAAAACAGUGGGAAAAGUGAAACUUCUGCAUAGCAUAAGCUUUCAAGAAAAGACAUUCUCAAUGUGGCAUAUAUAAGAGGGCAGAACCUUGAGAUACCAAUAUCAACCAACCCUGAACUCCAUCUUGUGCCUUGAAUUAAUAGGUCAUUUAAACUUGUGACACAAGUACCCAAAAAUUGUGGCCUCAGUGGAUUUAGGUAGACAGAUAUCCAACCUUUACAGUGUAACAUGUACCCUGUGAAGAAAUCUUCUGCCACAGAUUGGUACAAGAAGCCUACCUGAUACAUAUAUAUAUGAAGCAAGAGGAAACGAAUGUUAUUUCAAAGCAACUCCCUAACGAGUUCUAUAAACAGAGAUUGAUAUGAACUUGCCUCUUCACCCCAUUUUGUGUGACUCUCAUAGAAGCAUGAGGCUAAUAGUUUGGCCUCUUUUAGAGGUGUGCUGGAACAGCUCCCAUCACUAAUCACAUUAGCCUUGUAAUUUCUCCCAAGGGAUUUUAUGAACUCAUUAGACAAGCCGAACAAAUUUUUAAGUUCAGUUAGCUCAUUACCUGUUAAUUAAAAACAAAAUGAACAUAGAUUAAUAUUCUUUCAGUGAAAAACUGACAAUAUAAUCAGGAAUUAACCAGUUGGACAUUAAUCCAUAAAAUUAUUAAGAAAUGUCCACUCAAGAACUUGUUGGAGCUUGUUUAGCAAGUGACAAUUGGACGAAGCCUAAUUGUACUUGAAGUCUAGCAAGGGAAUGAGAAAAAUGAAUGGGUUACAUAGGAGGAAUCAAACCAAAAUGGCUUAAUUUGGAUUAAUGACUUGGAUCAUUUUAGUGCAAUGGCGAUGCAAUUUGCAAAGCUGUGUGUGUUAAGGCCCAACAACUUUAAUUUUUAAACCAAGCCGAUGGACCCUUCAUACCAAGCCAACUGAACAGAACUAUUACCUUCUUGUAUAAAAUUACCGUAUAGACAGUCCCUGUUCAUAUAAAAGCCACUACCAGAUAAGAUUGGUCCCUUCAGCCCAUCCAUGCCAUGCCAUAAUAUCUUAAAUGUGGAUCUCAUUUGACCAUCAUAGAUGUCAGUCUUACUAAUGUUACGAAAUCUCUGAGGGAACUGAACAAAUGCAAUGGAGGGAGAGAUGUUGGAAUCAAGGUAGAAACACAUAGCUUGCCUAGCUGAAGUUGGGUCAUUGCAGUACAUGUCGCAAUCUAGCACUAGUACAUAGGGAGAGUUGCUAAUCACUCCAGAGACCCUAAGAAGGGCAUUAAGGGCUCCAGCCUUGAAAUUAUGAGGAUGAGAAGGCCUUUUCUCUCUAGAAACGUAAACAAGAAGGGGCAUCUCAUAGGAAUUGUCUUGCAUCACCUCUACGAGAGCAGGGUGAUCUCGAGUGGUAGUAAUAUUGUUUGUGUCUUCAAAACCCAAAUCUUCUUUAGACCUCAACAAGCUUUCCUUAAAAACUUCAUAUUUGUCCUGAAUUAUUUGCUUCUCUGCCAUGAACUCAUCACUUCUAUAGCUACUAUCGUCAUCUGAUGCUGAUGAGAAAUAGGCCUUUGGGCACCUAGUCUUGAUUCCAAACCUUUUGCAAAACGGUAACCAAUACCUUGCAAACUUGCAAGCUUCUCUCAUUCCAAGCAAAGUUAUAGCAGCACCUCCAUCAUCUGAUAAAUACACAUGAAGCUUCUCCACCGGGUAAUCCAAUGCCAUGGCGGACAAAACUGUGUUCAUCACCUCCACGGUUGGCUCUUUAUCAGGAUCCGCAGUGCAUAUAAACACAUCAAUCCCAGGGAGUUUGCUAUCCUCGGGCAAUCUUUCGGGAAACACAGUUCGACAAACAGGUCUCCACCGAGAACCUAGGCCAAGGAGCCACAUGAAGGAGAGAAGAAGCUCAGAGGCAAAAACCAGAAGCCAUGGAACGAUAGGUGUGGCUCUGAUUUCAAGGUUUUGAAAGAGAAAGGAAGCUCUAUAGUAAACCAAGAAAGCUAUGGCUAUACAAUGGAUGAGUGCAUGAGACCUGUUUAUGAUAUUGUAAAGCUUGUGGACAUUAUAAUCGCAGGUAUGGAGAGGGAAAGAGUAGUCCAUGUUUCCAGUUUUUCUCAGAAUUCUUGAGUUCAUGUGUAUCGAAAAUGUGUUGUUU